AGCAGUGCCGCGGGAAAACAGAGGGUGCGAGCGUUAAUCGGAUUUACUGGGCGUAAAGCGUGCGUAGGCGGCUUUUUAAGUCGGAUGUGAAAUCCCUGAGCUUAACUUAGGAAUUGCAUUCGAUACUGGGAAGCUAGAGUAUGGGAGAGGAUGGUAGAAUUCCAGGUGUAGCGGUGAAAUGCGUAGAGAUCUGGAGGAAUACCGAUGGCGAAGGCAGCCAUCUGGCCUAAUACUGACGCUGAGGUACGAAAGCAUGGGGAGCAAACAGGAUUAGAUACCCCCGUAGUCCAUGUCUCUUAUACA
rnacentral:rRNA from 1 species